rnacentral:misc_RNA from 1 species
UUUCCGUAGGUGAACCUGCGGAAGGAUCAUUAUUGGAUUUUGAAACCUCAGGCUGCUGCUGGCUCUCCUCGGAGGGCAUGUGCACGCUUGUUGUCCAUUAUUUCUCCCACUGUGCACAAAUUGUAGACCUUUCAGUAGGCCUAUGUUGUUUUUCACAAUCUCUGAAUGUAAUAGAAUGGUUUUGAAUCUUGGGAAAUACAAUACAACUUUCAGCGACGGAUCUCUUGGCUCUC